AUUGAACGCUGGCGGCAGGCCUAACACAUGCAAGUCGAGCGCGCGGCGGACGGGUGUGUAAUGUCUGGGAAACUGCCUGCUGGAGGGGGAUAUCUCCUGGAAACGGUAGCUAAUACCGCAUACCCUCAGAUGUGCCCCGAUGGGAUUAGCUAGUAGGUGGGGUAACGGCUCACCAAGGCGACGAUCCCUAGCUGUUUUGAGAGGAUGACCAGCCACACUGGAACUGAGACACGGUCCAGACUCCUACGGGAGGCAGCAGUGGGGAAUAUUGGACAAUGGGGGCAAGCCUGAUGCAGCCAUGCCGCGUGUGUGAAGAAGGCCUUCGGGUUGUAAAGCACUUUCAGCGGGGAGGCGUUACCCGCAGAAGAAGCACCGGCUAACUCCGUGCCAGCCGCCGCGGUAAUAC
rnacentral:rRNA from 1 species